AUCGUACCCCAAACCGACACAGGUGGUCAGGUAGAGAAUACCAAGGCGCUUGAGAGAACUCGGGUGAAGGAACUAGGCAAAAUGGUGCCGUAACUUCGGGAGAAGGCACGCUGAUAUGUAGGUGAAGUCCCUCGCGGAUGGAGCUGAAAUCAGUCGAAGAUACCAGCUGGCUGCAACUGUUUAUUAAAAACACAGCACUGUGCAAACACGAAAGUGGACGUAUACGGUGUGACGCCUGCCCGGUGCCGGAAGGUUAAUUGAUGGG
rnacentral:rRNA from 1 species